ACGCUCGACACCUACGGAGGCAGCAGUGGGGAAUAUUGCACAAUGGAGGAAACUCUGAUGCAGCGAUGCCGCGUGAGGGAAGAAGGUUUUCGGAUUGUAAACCUCUGUCUUUGGGGACGAUAAUGACGGUACCCAAGGAGGAAGCUCCGGCUAACUACGUGCCAGUAGCCGCGGUAAUCUGAGCGGGCUGGCAAGGC
rnacentral:rRNA from 1 species